rnacentral:rRNA from 1 species
UACAGAGGUCCCAAGCGUUGUUCGGAUUCACUGGGCGUAAAGGGUGCGUAGGCGGUCGGGUAAGUCUGACGUGAAAUCUUCAAGCUCAACUUGGAAACUGCGUCGGAUACUAUUCGGCUCGAGGAAUGGAGGGGAGACUGGAAUACUUGGUGUAGCAGUGAAAUGCGUAGAUAUCAAGUGGAACACCAGUGGCGAAGGCGACUCGCUGGACUGAUACUGACGCUGAGGUGCGAAAGCGUGGGGAGCAAACAGG